CUUCCAGUUUCCAGGCUCUCUGCCAUGGAGUAGGAAGUGUGGAAGUCCUGGGAUGAGCUCCCACAGUCCAUGGGUGUGGGACUCAGGGGCCAGCUAUCCAGCAGCUGCUGAGUGAAAUUGACAUUUAUUACUGAGACAAGGUGGAUGAAGUAAUAUCUUUUGCUGGACCAACUUCUGAUGGUGAGAGAGACAAGCUUUCAUUACUGCUAAUACAGAACAAAACCACAUUUUGAAAUAACAAAAUUUCCUGUGAACCGGAAAUCCCACAUUUCAGCCAGCUCUAAUAAAGAUGCAAGAAUCUUACUAGCUAGAGAUGGAGAAGACCAAUAAGAUUCCAUUCAGCCCAGUUCCCAGAGGGCCAGUGCAGAGAGAGGCCUGAACGUGCGGUCAAGUGCACCCGAGAGGUUUGGAAACCAGAAGUCAAACAAAAGACCCCAAAUGUACAAUUAUUUUGUCUCAUGUCAGUCCUUGGUGUUCCCAUCCCUCCCUGAGCUGGCUGCAAAAUGAAGAUAAGCGCUGGACUGGGAGCCAUAUAAUAAUAAUACUUCGUGCUAGAGUGGGUCAGAAAUGGGUGUCCCUCCCCCACCCCCACAACAGGAAAAUUUAGACUUUUUGUUGACACAUCAAAAACCGCAAAAGAGAAUGUGGCUGAAAACUGCUAAAAAAAAAA